rnacentral:lncRNA from 1 species
CCUUACCUGUUCAAGUACAUUGGGGUUGGAAUUUUUACUCUUCUCCUCUACUCUGUUCAAGUUCAAGUUCGUUGGGUGAGCAUAAUUUCCUCCUCUGUUCAGGCAAGCACAUAUCACCAGUACCGCUGACCUUUGAUCGACCGUCUAUUACUUGCUCUCUUCGCAAAGGCGCUAUGGCUGCUGGUUCUCUUCAACAGUCUGUUCAACUAGGAGAAUGGGAGAGAGAGGAUGGGCAACGACAGCUGCUCCUGGGUUCUCGCAUGCAGACGCGGUUCUGCUGCUGUUGAUGCACGCACUCUCUCUUGCUAGUGGUGCUGCCCCGUGCUAUUGUUCCCUGCUGCUAAUAAUGGUGUUACUGUUGCUUCCAACCUUCCUCUCAAUAUUUUGCUACUUGUGCUGCUAGUACAAGCUGACGCUUUCUUUUUUACGUUCCUCUCUCUCAUUGAGUGCACAAGAAAAAUAUAUAUGAUUCUGAUUGGAUUUCUGUAGAAAUGUACCCCCUUUUAAUUAUGUUCUAAUUUGAUACACAGAAACAUCGGUGCAUGACUUUGUGUGGUUUUUGUAUUGAGUUUGUAUGAGUUUGGUUAGUAGUUUGUGCAAGGCACGGGAAGUGGCAUGCGGGGAUUUCUCCCUGCCCGCGGCCGACGGAGUCGUUCUCCGCCGCCGUCCUCCGAGGCGACCCUGUCGGACACCGUUUAACCAAUUGACAACUUC